CAUGAUACACAUAAGCACAGGAAAAGCUGGAAGAUGGUGUCCACAUCUCAGCUCCUUGGGCUUCUGUUCUUCUGGGUUUCAGCCUCCAGAGGCAACAUUGUGCUGACUCAGUCUCCAGCCACCCUGUCUGUGACUCCAGGAGAAAGAGUCACCAUGGCCUACAAGACCAGCCAGGGUAUUGGAACAAGCUUACACUGGUAUCAGCAAAAAACAAAUGAGGCUCCAAGGCUUCUCAUCAAGUAUGCUUCCCAGUCCAUCUCUGGGAUCCCCUCCAGGUUCAGUGGCAGUGGGUCAGGGACAGAUUUCAUCUUCAGCAUCAACACUGUGGAGGCUGAAGAUGUUGCACUUUUUUACUGUCAGCAGGGUAACAGCUUCCCUCCCACAGUGAUAGAGACCCUAGCAAAAACUACCAGGGAAGCAGAAAUGUGAGGCUGGGCUUCUUCAGCUGCUUCUGGUGGUGCCUUCACAGUGUUUCACAGAUGUGGACAGCCUUGCAUUUUUAGGUUUAAUACAAAUGAAGAACCCUGGGAUCUCUCUUGCCUCUGAACUCUCUUCACUCCACUUCAGUUCCAGAAGUCAUAGCCUACAAUGACACUCAUGGUGUAAACAAUCUUCAUCUAGUGUAUUAUAACCCAGAGAAAAUCCCAGCCUGGAUAGACAAAACAAUUGAUUUCAUGCUCUUAUAAUUGUUGGAAGUAUAAAUGAGGCAUUACCUGAUGCCAUAGCAUAUACUAUACUCCUGUCCUCACGAAGAAGAAAGCUGAGACUUACUACUUCAUGUCUCAGUUGCAACUUUCCCAUGCACAUUUUAUAGUAAGUGAACAAGUCUUGAGGAUAAAGUGUUUUCUUGUUUAUAGAUUCAUAUGAACUGGACAAUCUAGUUUGGUGAAAAUUGCAAAUUUCUUGAAAAGUGGUUACAGUUACUACUUAAUAGAAAAAAAAUGAAACUAGAGUU